rnacentral:rRNA from 1 species
UACGGAGGAUCCAAGCGUUAUCCGGAUUUAUUGGGUUUAAAGGGUGCGUAGGCGGCCUAUUAAGUCAGGGGUGAAAGACGGUAGCUUAACUAUCGCAGUGCCCUUGAUACUGAUGGGCUUGAAUGUACUUGAGGUAGGCGGAAUGUGACAAGUAGCGGUGAAAUGCAUAGAUAUGUCACAGAACACCAAUUGCGAAGGCAGCUUACUAAAGUAUGAUUGACGCUGAGGCACGAAAGCGUGGGGAUCAA